GGAUCUCUGCAGGCGAUGCUGAUCUCAUGUGUGUCCAUUGGUCGACUCGUGCAGGAGUUCGAGUGGAGGCCGAGGGAAGGAGAUGCGGAUGAUGUAGAUACAGUCCUGCUUACCACCCACAAGCUCCAUCCCUUGCAUGCAUACCUAACACCGAGAGGGAAAGUGAACCAUUAAGAUUCACAAUUCCAAGUUGAUCCAUUUUGCUUUGUAUGAAUGCAUGUUUAAUGUUAUACUGAAGCAGAUGAUCUUUCAAUCCUGCGCUUAUGGCUAUGGCUUAUCUUUAGACUUCACUAUGUUGAAAGAUUUUGACUAUUCUGGGAGGAAGGUCGUUUUGAUCAUUUGAGUGAUACUGCUUUUGUGCAAUGCUGUAGCUUGAUUUAUUAAAAUUGCUGGUUCAAAUGUUAGUGUGAAAUGUCUUGGUUUAUCCAAAUUAUUUCUUCAGACUCGAUGUUGAUUUUACUUCGGAUCAAGAAUUUAAGUGUCCAUCGGCAUGAGCCGUAUCUACCGUGCUGUACCGUGCCAACAGGAUACCGACAUGAUACAACUCAGGUGCCGAUGGUACAAUUCAAAAUUUUUUAUUUUAAAAUUUGUAAGUAAUUUUUUGAAUAAAGUUUAAAAGAUUUGAUAAAAAUACAUGAUAAACCGUUAAAAUAUUUUGUUGUUAAGAAAAAUAAAUAUUUCAUGGAAUUAUGUGUUGGCGCACAUGAAUUUUUGGUGACUAGUAAGCAUCGGCAUGGCCCGUCAUGCAUCAUAUCGUAUCGUGUCAGCAAGUUUCGACACGAUCUUGUACCACGGUACUUAAAUCCUUACUUCGAAUAAUACAAUUUUGUCUGGAACUAAGUUCUUAUUUAGUCGAUUAAUGCAUGGUACCCGAAAAUUGUUCCAAUUUUUUUAUCAAGCUAUACCAACAAAUUGAGAUAGUGCAUCAACCCAAAUCAAGCUUAAAUUUCUAGUCAAUGAAUUAUCCAAAAAAAUCUGUAUGAUUACAAGCUAAAUAGUUUACUUGAAUUUGAAUUUGGUUAUUCUUGGUUUUCCGAAAUGGAAAUUAAUUUAUUGUGAACGGGGCCGUAAACUAGCUGUACACGCGGCAAACGUGCAGCUGGAUGAAUCAUCUCUCUACCAGAUUUUUUUUAAAAUUUUUUUUUUAUUUUUUUUUUCUCAGCAGAAAAUGUUUUCGAUUUUUAAUUUAAUUUUUUUAAAAAGUACGCCCGUAAGCAUCUUCCUGACACCCCGCAAUCAUAUCCGUCCAGAUGGCAACGGAAGGUUCGUCUGCUCAGAUCCGACGGCUGCCGCUAAAAGCCUCGACAUCAGCUAUCCUGACCUCACGUUAUACAUGCCCAAUCGUUGCCCUUCUGGAUGAGGGGUUAUGGCCUGAACCUGAUCCACCGCGUCGUCCGUAGACCGUUCUGAUUUAAAAAUUAUUGCCUGGAUCAAGUUCACCACNCGUACGAACCAAACACCGAAAUACUACAUUUUUAGUAAUAGGAUGAAUAGGAAUAAGAUUUUCGGAUAUUUUUUUACUCCUAGUAAUCUUUCAUAGUGCGAACCAAAUGCGCCUUAAGGGGAAUCUAUUGGAGAAAAUUGUGUCAAGUAAGUUAUUACUGCUUCUUUGAACUUCUCUUUUGAAACAGCAAAUAUGUAAAAGCUCUACUUUGUCCAGGUGGCCGUAUUAGUGCUUAUAAAAUGUUCAAAUAUUGUCUUAUAAAAUGUUCAAAUAUAUGCCAGAUUGCCAUCAAUCUCUACGCAUGCAACAUGAACAAAAAGGACUGGGACAGACCUGAGGAGUGGAGGCCCGAGAGGUUUUUGAAUGGCAAGUUCGAGUCCUCGGACUUGCUCAAGACAAUGGCUUUCGGAGCGGGGAAGAGGGUUUGCGCGGGAUCUCUGCAGGCGAUGCUGAUCUCAUGUGUGUCCAUUGGUCGACUCGUGCAAGAGUUCGAGUGGAGGCCGAGGGAAGGAGAUGCGGAUGAUGUAGAUACAGUCCUGCUUACCACCCACAAGCUCCAUCCCUUGCAUGCAUACCUAACACCGAGAGGGAAAGUGAACCAUUAAGAUUCACAAUUCCAAGCUGAUCCAUUUUGCUUUGUAUGAAUGCAUGUUUCAUGUUAUACUGAAGCAGAUGAUCUUUGAAUCCUGUGCUUGUGGCUAUGGCUUAUCUUUAGACUUCACUAUGUUGAAAGAUUUUGACUAUUCUGGGAGGAAGGUCGUUUUGAUCAUUUGAGUGAGGAAGGUCGUUUUGAUCAUUUGAGUGAUACUGCUUUUGUGCAAUGCUGUAGCUUGAUUUAUUAAAAUUGCUGGUUCAAAUGUUAGUGUGAAAUGUCUUGGUUUAUCCAAAUUAUUUCUUCAGACUCGGAUGUUGAUUUUACUUCGGAUCAAGGAUUUAAGUGUCCAUCAGCACGAGUCGUAUCUACCGUGUCGUACCGUGCCAAUAAGAUACCGAUACGAUACAACUCAGGUGCCGAUGGCAUAAUUCAAAAUCCUCUAUUUUUAAAAAUUGUAAGUAGUUUUCUGAAUAAAGUUUAAAAGAUUUGAUAAGAAUAUAUGAUAAACAGUUAGAAUAUUUUGUUGCCAAAGAAAAUAAAUAUUUCAUGGAAUUAUGUGUCGGCGCACAUGAAUUUUUUGUGACGGGCAGGUAUUGGCAUGGCCCGGCACGCAUCAUGCCGUAUCGUGCCUGCAAGUUUCGACACGACUCCGUACUACGGUACUUAAAUCCUUGCUUCGAAUGAUACAAUUUUGUCUGGAUCUAAGUUCUUAUUUAGUCGAUUAAUGCAUGGUACCCGAAA
rnacentral:lncRNA from 1 species